rnacentral:rRNA from 1 species
GACGAACGCUGGCGGCGUGCUUAACACAUGCAAGUCGAACGGAAAGGCCUCUUUCGGGGGGUACUCGAGUGGCGAACGGGUGAGUAACACGUGAGUAACCUGCCCUUGACUUUGGGAUAACUUCAGGAAACUGGGGCUAAUACCGGAUAGGAGCUCCUGCUGCAUGGUGGGGGUUGGAAAGUUUCGGCGGUUGGGGAUGGACUCGCGGCUUAUCAGCUUGUUGGUGGGGUAGUGGCUUACCAAGGCUUUGACGGGUAGCCGGCCUGAGAGGGUGACCGGCCACAUUGGGACUGAGAUACGGCCCAGACGCCUACGGGAGGCAGCAGUGGGGAAUAUUGCACAAUGGGUGGAAGCCUGAUGCAGCAACGCCGUGUGCGGGAGGACGGCCUUCGGGUUGGAAACCGCUUUCGCUCAUGACGAAGCUUUGUGUGACGGUAGUGGGUAAAGAAGCACCGGCUAACUACGUG